GAUGAACGCUGACAGAAUGCUUAACACAUCAGCGAUUGAUUUGUGGCGGACGGGUGAUUAACGCGUAAAGAACUAACCUCACAGUUAGGGACCAUAUUUGGAAACGAAUGCUAAUAACUAAUACUGUGCGAGAGCUUUGCGUCCCAUUAGCUCGUUGGAGAGGUUACGGCCAACCAAGGCGAUGAUGGGUAGCCGGCCUGCGAGGGUGAUAGGCCACAAAGGGACUGGGACACGGCCCUUAGGGCUACUGGGGGCAUGAAUGGGGAUUAGUGAGCAAUGUACCAAAGUCUGAUGCAGCAAUUCUGUUUGCACGAUGAAGUUUUCGGAAUGUAAAGUGCUUUCAGUAGGGAAGCGGUACCAACAGAGGAAGCGACGGCUAAAUACGUGCCAGCCGCCGCGGUAAUAC
rnacentral:rRNA from 1 species